CAGCAGCCACGGUAAUACGAAGGGGGCUAGCGUUGUUCGGAUAUACUGGGCGUAAAGCGCACGUAGGCGAACUUUUAAGUCAGGGGUGAAAUCCCGGGGCUCAACCCCGGAACUGCCUUUGAUACUGGGAGUCUUGAGUUCGAGAGAGGUGAGUGGAAUUGCGAGUGUAGAGGUGAAAUUCGUAGAUAUUCGCAGGAACACCAGUGGCGAAGGCGGCUCACUGGCUCGAUACUGACGCUGAGGUGCGAAAGCGUGGGGAGCAAACGGGAUUAGAUACCCCUGUAGUCCCUGUCUCUUAUAC
rnacentral:rRNA from 1 species